AUGUUUAGGGGACAACUGCCGCCGGCCUUCACCAUGGGCUUCUCGCGGCUCGCCUCUUCCCCACCACAAGCGCACAUCGAGCCUCCCCUCCCUAGCGCUUGGCUGGAUGACGUGAUGGACGACUCGGCAACGCUCCCCGCCUCGCCAAUCCUACACGCGGCUCGGUCUCCGCUGUUCCCACCGGCUGUGGUGCCGGAGUCUUGGGAAGACGCCACUGGGGACGUCGCUGAGGACGAGGCCAGGCAGGUCCUUGGCGACCCCGUGGCCGAAGAGCGCGCUCCAUCCCCCGACAACAACCUUUUUGUGCGCCCUCAGGCACCUCUCCGGCCGUGCCCUGCGCCUGCACUGCUGACGCCUACGCUGCCCAAGGUGCAGCCCACUUCUAUUACCAGGCGUAGUGCCCGUUUGAUCAACAAGCCAAAGAUGCACGCCAUGGAUAAGGCCGUCCAUGUCCUGAACACCAAGAUGGGUGUUGCUUCUGAAGGAGUCCCUCUGCUGGAUGCGAGGAAGGCUUACGUCGACAAGUUCAGCACCCCGCUUCCGGACAAGGCGAUUGAAGCUCUAGCCAAGCUCUUCAAACUCAACAUCCGCAGCAUGUCCGAAGCGGACGAGUUGCUCAUUGCCAUGGGCGGUCCAGGAGGGUGUGAGCUAGAUGCCCAGGACGUGACUGUUUAG
rnacentral:rRNA from 1 species